GAGGGUUAGUACGUUGAAUUAAUUUUGAGUUUAUGGGGAUGGAGCUGUCUUCAUUUGCAGCCAUGCGAAAAAACACUUACUGGCUAAGUUCUUUUCACUCAAGUAUCAUUAUUUCCCGUUUGACUUGUGAGGUUUAUCAAUCUGCAGUUUCCCAAACAGGUCGUCCAAGCUGCGAUUUGUCAUAGUUCAAGCAUGUUGAAUCUUUCAGAGCGUGAAAGUUUCCGCGUUCUCGCAUGGUUUGACAACAACGUCCACAUUAUUUGAAACGUACAUUAAGUGAUACGGUUUUGAGCGGUUCGAUAUUCCGAUAUACUUCAGCACCUUGAAUAAUGAAUAUGAAUCUGAUUGUAACGAUUAUAUCAUUGAUGAUCAUGAUUCAUCGUGAUAUGACGACAGCAGUACGACCUAAACGGCUAAAUUCUGUUGGCGGUGGCAAUGGCUGCAAUUGGAUAAGUUGCGAUUUUGAAAAACUUCGUGAAGAAUCUAAAAAGAACAGUUCGAUCUACAAUUAAUGGCACGAGUCAAAAUUUUGAAUAAUAAAUCAUUUUUGAAUUUCGAA